rnacentral:piRNA from 1 species
CCCCUGGAGCACACUUAGUGAGUAGAUGG